GAGUUGGUAGCUCAGCGGAUCAGAGCACGUGGUUCCGAACUACGGUGUCGGGGGUUCGAGUCCCUUCCAAUUCG
rnacentral:tRNA from 1 species